rnacentral:rRNA from 1 species
AGUAACGGCGAGUGAAGCGGCAACAGCUCAAAUUUGAAAUCUGUCUACCUUUCGUAGUCCGAGUUGUAAUUUGUAGAGGAUGCUUUUGGUGAGGUGCCUUCCGAGUUCCCUGGAACGGGACGCCAUAGAGGGUGAGAGCCCCGUACGGUUGGAUACCAAGCCUCUGUAUAGCUCCUUCAACGAGUCGAGUAGUUUGGGAAUGCUGCUCUAAAUGGGAGGUAUAUCUCUUCUAAAGCUAAAUAUAGGCUAGAGACCGAUAGCGCACAAGUAGAGUGAUCGAAAGAUGAAAAGCACUUUGAAAAGAGAGUUAAACAGCACGUGAAAUUGUUGAAAGGGAAGCGCCUAUGACCAGACUUGUUUCUGGCAGUUUUGUUAGCCCUCGGGCUGAUUUACUCUGUCCAGUACAGGCCAGCAUCAGUUUGUUAUUGGGGAGAAAGGCUCUGGGAAUGUGGCUCCCCCCCCCCUUGUGGGAGGAGUGUUAUAGCCCUCUGCAUAAUACCCUUUGGCAGACUGAGGACCGCGCUUCGGCAAGGAUGCUGGCGUAAUGGUCAUCAGCGACCCGUCUUGAAACACGGACCAAGGAGUCAACCUUAUGUGCGAGUGUUUGGGUGUAAAACCCCCAGCGCGUAAUGAAAGUGAACGUAGGUGAGAGCUUCGGCGCAUCAUCGACCGAUUCUGAUGUUUUCGGAUGGAUUUGAGUAAGAGCACACAGGGUUGGACCCGAAAGAAGGUGAACUAUGCUUGUAUAGGGUGAAGCCAGAGGAAACUCUGGUGGAGGCUCGCAGCGGUUCUGACGUGCAAAUCGAUCGUCAAAUAUGAGCAUGGGGGCGAAAG